AGUAACGCGUAAAGAACUUGCCUCACAGUUAGGGACAACAUUUGGAAACGAAUGCUAAUACCUGAUAUUAUGAUUUUAGGGCAUCCUAAGAUUAUGAAAGCUAUAUGCGCUGUGAGAGAGCUUUGCGUCCCAUUAGCUAGUUGGAGAGGUAACGACUCACCAAGGCAAUGAUGGGUAGCCGGCCUGAGAGGGUGAACGGCCACAAGGGGACUGAGACACGGCCCUU
rnacentral:rRNA from 1 species